GCCCGCGUAUAUCAAUGGCUAGAUUCUUCGACUUUUAACUUUGUCCCUUCGAGGGAUAUUAGGGAUCGAAAGGUUGCGGGUUCGAGUCCCGCCGCAGGCU
rnacentral:tRNA from 1 species